rnacentral:rRNA from 1 species
AAUAGAUACCCGGGUAGUCCACGCCGUAAACGAUGAGUGCUAAGUGUUAGAGGGUUUCCGCCCUUUAGUGCUGCAGCUAACGCAUUAAGCACUCCGCCUGGGGAGUACGGUCGCAAGACUGAAACUCAAAGGAAUUGACGGGGGCCCGCACAAGCGGUGGAGCAUGUGGUUUAAUUCGAAGCAACGCGAAGAACCUUACCAGGUCUUGACAUCCUCUGACAACUCUAGAGAUAGAGCGUUCCCCUUCGGGGGACAGAGUGACAGGUGGUGCAUGGUUGUCGUCAGCUCGUGUCGUGAGAUGUUGGGUUAAGUCCCGCAACGAGCGCAACCCUUGAUCUUAGUUGCCAGCAUUAAGUUGGGCACUCUAAGGUGACUGCCGGUGACAAACCGGAGGAAGGUGGGGAUGACGUCAAAUCAUCAUGCCCCUUAUGACCUGGGCUACACACGUGCUACAAUGGAUGGUACAAAGGGCUGCAAGACCGCGAGGUCAAGCCAAUCCCAUAAAACCAUUCUCAGUUCGGAUUGUAGG